GGGGGUAUAGCUCAGUGGUAGAGCACCCGCAUACGUAUCGGAAGGUCGGGGGAUCGACUCCCUCUGCCUCCA
rnacentral:tRNA from 1 species